UCUGGUGGAUUAGUGGCGAACGGGUGAGUAACACGUGAGUAACCUGCCCUUGACUCUGGGAUAAGCGUUGGAAACGACGUCUAAUACCGGAUACGAGCUUCAGCCGCAUGGCUAGGAGUUGGAAAGAAUUUCGGUCAAGGAUGGACUCGCGGCCUAUCAGCUAGUUGGUGAGGUAAUGGCUCACCAAGGCGACGACGGGUAGCCGGCCUGAGAGGGUGACCGGCCACACUGGGACUGAGACACGGCCCAGACUCCUACGGGAGGCAGCAGUGGGGAAUAUUGCACAAUGGGCGCAAGCCUGAUGCAGCAACGCCGCGUGAGGGACGACGGCCUUCGGGUUGUAAACCUCUUUUAGCAGGGAAGAAGCGAAAGUGACGGUACCUGCAGAAAAAGCACCGGCUAACUACGUGCCAGCAGCCGCGGUAAUACGUAGGGUGCAAGCGUUGUCCGGAAUUAUUGGGCGUAAAGAGCUCGUAGGCGGUUUGUCGCGUCUGCUGUGAAAACGCGAGGCUCAACCUCGCGCCUGCAGUGGGUACGGGCAAACUAGAGUGCGGUAGGGGAGAUUGGAAUUCCUGGUGUAGCGGUGGAAUGCGCAGAUA
rnacentral:rRNA from 1 species